rnacentral:ncRNA from 1 species
AUAAUGCGCGCCGCUUUGGGUGCCAGAUUGCUAAUAUCGUCUGGUUAAACGGGAAACAGGUGAGGGAGUUCGAUCUCUUAAAGCCUGUGCUGCCCCCGCAACGGUAAGCAGGUGCGGGCGUGUCAAUAAUCUGGUAGAUCAAAAUUUGCGUGAAGAUUGCUUUGCGUUCAUCAGAUAGGUAAUUUUAUUCUGGCGCAAAGGAUUUCGUUGCCAGGAAUCAGAUUCUGGUAAAUGGUAAAAGCGCAUGUGAAUCCACAUUCAGGUUAAGCCACUGUGAGCAAUCAUGGGAAGGCGAUGCGUCUAGUCCUGCAAGCCCGGAUACCGGCCUUGAGCACAGGAAUCUCA